UCUCUAUCUUUCCGAUCAGAAUUGUCUUCUCUCAGUAUCUCUCUCUCUCUAGUCUCUCCUGAACCGUAUAGAGCAGAGAUGUCCCCUCUCUGAUCGGCGGAAAUCUCAUUAAAAGAGACUGGGCGGUUACUCAGACGCACAUAACCGCCUCCCAACCGCUCUAACCAUCCCCGCGCUCCUUUUUCCCUUCAACCGUCUAUCCGGACAGUUACUUAUUACUCCGAAACCAGUAACCACUCUCGGUUCAAUUAAGUAGUUCAGUACCUGCUCUCCCAACUUCUCCAGCAGUUCAGUAACCGGCUUAAUAACCACCCGCCAAACUGUUCGGUAACCACUCGGUAACUGCUCCCGGUAACCGCCAAGCAGUUUAUAAAUUCAGUAACCGUCAGAUAAUUGUUCCCGCCAUUUUGCUUGGCUAAUCAGUUCAUGUUCAACUCAGUAUUUGUUCCCGUCAGAACGUAUACCAGUCAGUCCACACAUUGACUACUGAUCUCGGAUGACAAGUCUAGCUGCCUUGUCUAAAUUUAGUAACCGCCAAGCAGUUUAUAAAUUCAGUAACCGUCAGAUAACUGUUCCCGCCAUUUUGCUUGGCUAAUCAGUUCAUGUUCAACUCAGUAUCUGUUCCCGUCAGAACGUAUACCAGUCAGUCCACACAUUGACUACUGAUCUCGGAUGACAAGUCCAGCUGCCUUGUCUAAA
rnacentral:lncRNA from 1 species